UUUCUUUCUUUCUUUCUUUCUUUCUUUCUUUCUUUCUUUCUUUCUUUCUUUCUUUCUUUCUUGCAAGCUGUGAUCGGAUGCAAUCUUUGUGGGGCAUUUAAAUGGAAGGGUUCAUUGAUGUGUAUUGCUUGCCAAGCCAAAAUGUUGCCUUUGGGGAAAAGGGAGAGAGGUGUUCAUGGAGUGCAGGGAAAGGAGGUUUUGGGGCAGAGAUUUUGAUUUAAAAUAACCAGACUUCUUCUGGCUGAUGAAAAGAGGCAAAAGUUUUAAAUUGUCAAGUUUAAAACUAUGUUCAGUUAUGAUUUGCCACUUCUGAAUAUUAUUUUGGAUUUCCCCUUUCAUGCUUAUUUUGUUCAGAAUCCUAAUGAAUAGAGGUUGCUGGACUCAGGGUAAAAGCAGGAUGAACUGGAGAUGGGACAUACAAGAAAAAAAUGCUUUCGCAUAUUUUUCCUGCUGGGUGGUCAGAAGGAAAGGCCGUGAAGCUAAAUGUCUCCCAUUGAGACGCUGUUCUGCAAAGAGCCGACCUCACGUGCCGCCGCCAGAGAAGAGAGCACCUGUUUAUCAAGGCUCACUGUGAGGCUGAGCUCAGCGCUGGCAGGCGAGGGGCCGCAAGCAUCCCCCACAGCCACCGAGAGGGCAUCCCUGCAGGGAAAUCAUAUCCGACAUGCCUGUGCCCACACCAGACUUAAGACUGCCUCUAAAAUGUCCAUGAAGCCAUUGUCCAGUAGAGCUGUUAGUUUUAACACCAGUGAGUAUUACCUUUGGUUAAAAGGAUGCAUGUGUAUAGGUAUAUGUGUGUGCGUGUGUGUUUGUGUUUUUGGACUUGUGUGGAGAAUGAAGAAAGGGUUCCAUUUAGGCAUUUGCAAAUAUUCGAUGGCAUAAUGAAAAGACAAAAAAAUCCUAUAAAAUAUAUCAUAUUUUGCUAUGAUUUUGUGUGUA
rnacentral:lncRNA from 1 species